AUUGAACGCUGGCGGCAGGCUUAACACAUGCAAGUCGAGCGGGGGAGGUUGCUUCGGUAACUGACCUAGCGGCGGACGGGUGAGUAAUGCUUAGGAAUCUGCCUAUUAGUGGGGGACAACAUUCCGAAAGGGAUGCUAAUACCGCAUACGCCCUACGGGGGAAAGCAGGGGAGCUUCGGACCUUGCGCUAAUAGAUGAGCCUAAGUCGGAUUAGCUAGUUGGUGGGGUAAAGGCCUACCAAGGCGACGAUCUGUAGCGGGUCUGAGAGGAGGAUCCGCCACACUGGGACUGAGACACGGCCCAGACUCCUACGGGAGGCAGCAGUGGGGACUAUUGGACAAUGGGCGGAAGCCUGAUCCAGCCAUGCCGCGUGUGUGAAGAAGGCCUUUUGGUUGUAAAGCACUUUAAGCGAGGAGGAGGCUCUUAAGGUUAAUACCCUUGAUGAGUGGACGUUACUCGCAGAAUAAGCACCGGCUAACUCUUUGCCAGCCGCCGCCGUAAGAC
rnacentral:rRNA from 1 species